CAGUAGCCACGGUAACACGAAGGGGGCUAGCGUUGCUCGGAAUUACUGGGCGUAAAGGGAGCGUAGGCGGAUCGUUAAGUUGGGGGUGAAAGCCCGGGGCUCAACCUCGGAAUUGCCUUCAAUACUGGCGAUCUUGAGUAUGGAAGAGGUAUGUGGAACUCCGAGUGUAGAGGUGAAAUUCGUAGAUAUUCGGAAGAACACCAGUGGCGAAGGCGACAUACUGGUCUGGCAUUGACGCUCAUGUGCGAAAGCGUGGGGAGCAAACAGGAUUAGAUACCCCGGUAGUCCCUGUCUCUUAUAC
rnacentral:rRNA from 1 species